GUUGAGAGGAAUGUUGUCUGGCUCGAGGUCAUGGAGUACUGAGAUCAGUGAAAGUUUCCAAUGGAAAUUUACCCUCUAACCCAUCUCGGACCAGGCUUCAUUCCCCCCACC
rfam:Cajanus cajan CcLG11_3171, whole genome shotgun sequence.